UACAGAGGGUGCAAGCGUUGCUCGGAAUCAUUGGGCGUAAAGCGCGCGUAGGCGGCCCGGUAAGUCCGUUGUGAAAGUCAAAGGCUCAACCUUUGAAUGCCGAUGGAUACUGCCGGGCUCGAGUCCGGAAGAGGCGAGUGGAAUUCCUGGUGUAGCGGUGGAAUGCGCAGAUAUCAGGAGGAACACCAAUAGCGAAGGCAGCUCGCUGGGACGGUACUGACGCUAAGGCGCGAAAGCGUGGGGAGCGAACAGG
rnacentral:rRNA from 1 species